rnacentral:misc_RNA from 1 species
UCUCCGUAGGUGAACCUGCGGAGGGAUCAUUACCGAGUACGGGUGCUCACGCGCCCCGACCUCCAACCCUUUUGUGAACCACCUCGUUGCUUCGGGGGCGACCCUGCCGUUCGCGGCGUGGGGCCCCCGGAGCCCAUCAAACCCUGCGUAACUAAGUCGUCGGAGUUUAAACAAAUUAAACAAAACUUUCAACAACGGAUCUCUUGGUUCGGGCAUCGAUGAAGAACGCAGC